GAUGAAGAACGUAGCGAAAUGCGAUAAGUAAUGUGAAUUGCAGAAUUCAGUGAAUCAUCGAAUCUUUGAACGCACCUUGCGCCUUUUGGUAUUCCGAAAGGCACACCUGUUUGAGCGUCAUGAAUACCUCAAUCUCCAUCUUUUCUUCGGAUUGAUGGGUGACUUGGAUGUUGAGCCCUGCUGGUAUGCUAUAUCAGCUGGCUUUAAACUUAUUAGCCGGCUCUGUACUGGAUCGGUUUGACUCGACGUGAUAAUAUUAUCGUUGAGGAUGCAUGUCUCAUGCAGCCGGAAAGUAUCAAAGCAGCUUCUAGCUUGCCUUUAGUGCACUUUUACAUUUUAGACCCCAGAUCAGGUGGGACUACCCGCUGAACUUAAGCAUAUCAAUAAGCGGAGGA
rnacentral:misc_RNA from 1 species